rnacentral:lncRNA from 1 species
GAGGAGAUGGGUAUGAUGGCUGAUUAUAAUAUGAUGGCUGGAUAGGCUGAUUAGGCUGACCUCUAUUAUAGGCAUAAUUUUGGUAUUGGGGCAUAUUUUGAAAGUUUUGCACAUAAGAAAUUUGGGUUUAAGCCUGAGUCUAUUGGGGUCUCUAAGAAAAAUUGAGAUGAUUUUUCCAACUUUGGUUAUAUAUGUUCGCAAAUGGAUC